UUUCCGUAGGUAAACCUGCGGAAGGAUCAUUCAUAAUAAAGUGUUUUAUGGCACUUUUUAAAAAUCCAUAUCCACCUUGUGUGCAAUGUUAGAUCUCGUCAAUCUUGGCGAGAUUUUUAUACAUCAACUCAUUCUUUAACUAAUUUGUCUGAAAAAUAUUAUGAAUACUUAAUUCAAAAUACAACUUUCAACAACGGAUCUCUUGGCUCUC
rnacentral:misc_RNA from 1 species